ensembl:lncRNA
GAUGGCUUGAUGCAUAUGAAUGACUGUAGAAUAUUUAGUCUAGAUGAGUUACUUUAUAACUGAAAGGUCCGGGACAUAUGACUGUAGGCUAAUUGAAAAAUGAUUACAUAUAAACAACUGUAUAAUUCAAACAUGCAGUCUAGAUUAAGUACUCUAUAACUGAAAGGCUUACUACACAUGACUAUAUUUUUGAUAGACAAUCUUUUGUGUUGAUUGAGUUAAGUAAGAUAUUUAUGUCUAGGAAUACAUGUAUGAGGAAAAAUAACUUUAUAAUGCACAAUGUUGAUGUGAUGGAAAGCCAUGCUGUUGUGUUUGCUUAGCAUUCCACCUAAAUAGGUCAUGUUUCAAGAAUCAAACGCAAAUGCAGUAUAGGAUGCCAAAAGAAAAGCUCCUAAAGAGAGAGCCUGUUAUCUCUUGCAGCAGCCAGAGGUAAACACACACCCAAUAGUUCACGAAUCAUAUUCAGGGUCAGAUAUGUCUUUAUUUGGGUUGUGAUGUACUGUACGUAAUGUUUUCUAACAUCAGAAGACCCCCAGACAUUUACUUUUUCUUUCUAUAAUGUUUGUCAUUUAGCAGACACUCUUAUCCAGAGUGAUUUACAGUAGUGAGUGGAAACAUUUUCAUUUGUGGGAAUCGAACCCCAUGGAAAUCGAACCCACAGCCCUGGUGUUGCAAGUGCCAUGCUCUACAGUUGUUAUUUACGACCCCACCCCCCUUUUUUCCCGACAAGGCUUGCGUUUCUCCAGAUAGCUCUUAUUAGCAAGGGCAGCACCCCUCUUCUUCCUCUCUCUCUUUCGCUGUCUCUCUCCUUUUCCACAUGCCUGCCUUUCCCUAUCAGAGCCCAGGUCCUGCACAUUCUGUCAACAACCCCCGUCUUAUAUAAGCAUACCGCCUCGUUACACAACCUCGCUCUCUCUUCCUCAUUAGAAUGCAGGCUGCCAAAAGCCAGUACUGCUUGUACUCAGAAGAGGAGGAGAAAGGAGAAAAAAGCGAUUAAAUUUAAGAUACAAAAUGGGAAGUUAACAUUGCUUCAAAUAUUUACAGGGCUGGAGGGCUGUCCAUUUCUUAUUCUCCUUUUAUAAAAAUUUAAAAAAUGUAAUAGCUAUUCUAAGACUUCUCACAUAGACAGUGUAAUUAAUAUAAUAUCCAGCCUCCUUCCUUAGGCUUAGGACCAUCUACCACCACUAUCCUUUAGUUCAUUUUCACAUUUUCCACCCUCUAAGGCUUUAACUGGCACCCUAUUCCCUAUAUAGUGUAAUCUUAAUAUACUACUUGGUACAUGAUAUUGGGAAUGGAGUGCUAAUUCGGAAAGAGACAUAUUUUUUUAAUGAAAUCAUGAAUAUCAAUAUCACUUUGUUUCUCCCCCAUGAGGGCACUGCUAUACUGAACCUCAUUAGCUUCUGGUCCAGUAGUUGUCUGUUCCUCUUGUCAGAACACUGACACCUGCAUUCAGCAAGGUCAACGCAUCUGUGCUUUCCAAGCAAUUCUCAAGUAUACUGUUGAGCUGUAGCUAGCAAAGUGGUCUCUCUCCCCAUCCCUCUCCUCCCCUAUCCCCCUCCUCUCUCCUCUGAAUGACGUUUGAGCUUUGACCUCAAAUUGGAUGAGGAACUCUUCAAUAUCUAGUGCUUCUAUGGAGAUUGGAUGCAUGAGAUUGACUGCUUUCUGUGUACUUCAGAUUGAGCUACAUUUUUGUGCCCAUGAUUUUUGUAUUUUAUUUUGGUUAAUGUAUUUAUACUUUUGAUAAUCUACUUGAUAAUCCUGCGUGCGCUAUGUAAUACACUUUUAUAUUGUUUCAAACUCUGCUCUGUUGAUGUCCAUGCAUGGUAUGCCACUAGCUUGUGCUCAGUCAGAUCCCAAAUAUAGUCAGCCAAUAUGCACCACUUUAAUUCACUUCCAGUGCUGUAAGGAUGGGACCAUAGAAAGAGGCGGGACAUCUAUGAAAACUGAUUUAUAAUUCUAUAUGCAAUAUGUUUUUGUUAUGUAACUGUGUAUCUCAGUGUACUGCUGAGAAGUGAUCAUACUUUACUUACUGUGCUGCUGCAGUGAAAGUGUACCACAGACACACACAAACACCUUUAACCCAGUGUCCUUUAGUGAUAGUCCUGGAGCUAAAGUUUGGCUUGAGGGUCUCUCUACAUAAGCCACUGUCUGGACUUACAACAAAAAUGCCUCAAGUAAUGAAUGUUAUUUGUUAUACCUUUCUGAAGAAUCAGAAUCAAUAGACCAUUUGUUUUGGUAUUUCCCUCAGGUAGCCUGUUUCUGGUCUCAGGUUCAGGAAUGACUGAAAAUGCAUACCAUUGAUCUAAAAUUGACCCUAGAAAUAGUACUGUUAGGAGAUUUGGAGAGACCGGGUUAGUCAAUUACUAAUGCUCUUAGUAAAAGUAUUUAUCUUCAACUCGCAAUCUGUGGAUUCUAUUUGAUUGAAAUGGUACGUUAAACAUCACAGCACAGUUGAAAGGUAUGUGUUGCGUAGAAAUCUGAAGAAGGUGGCCAGCAGAGAUAGGUGGGAUGGGCUGAGGGUUGGGAUGUGGAAUUGGAGACGAGUGGAGUUGCUGUGCAGGAGAUAGAAUGAUGCUAAAAGUAAAAAAUAAAUUCUAAAUAAAACAUAAUAAAAAGUACGUUUGAAUGACACUGAGGGGCAGUGUUUUUACAGCUAAUGCCGGUUUGCCUGAGGCUAAUGCCUUUGUACUCUUGAAUAUACACACUCUCAUUCAAAUAAACGCAUACAAGAACUCACACAUACAUGUAAUAUUGCCAGACAUGCACACAAACAUAUACAGUUGGCAUUGCUGUUAUGAAUUUGAUGUCCUUAUUUAUUUUUUUAUUUAUUUUUUGCAUUGUUGUUUUCUGUUUUCUUCUGUCUUUUUUCUCUGUAGUUCAUUCUCUUGGUUGUUGGUGCAUUUGGGGGUUCUUGGGGGUG